ensembl:lncRNA
CCGGGAGGCUCUGCGCCGCGCGGAAUCCUCGGCUGGCGGCUUAGAUAAACAACCACCUGGGCCACCCGACAACACCCCAGUCCGUCAAACCCAGUGGGUAGGGGGCAUAUUGAACAUGCGCAGUUCUCCACCCGGCGACGGGAGCUGUUUCUACCUGAACACGCCAAGUUCAAGACUUUGGCGGAGACAGGCUGUUGGAGGGGCCAGAGCAGUCUCCGAGAUUUAACCUGAGGAGGGGAGUGAGAAGAGAGACACCGGCAGGGCCCAAACGGCGACCCUGGCACGAGGGCCUGGCUGGACACCACCCGGUCCGUCAGCAUUCCUGAGGGAUUUGUUUUUAUAAAGAUAACGAGAAAGCUGUUUGUUUUAGGGAGAAGCAGGCACACCACGAAAGGAAGCUUUUAUUUUACGCCUCAGGACACUCAGGGAGACGCGAGAGGCCCCAGGGAACUUACUGCCCAAGGCAGUGAGGCCGCGGUAGCCGGGGCCCACGCCCGGUGACGUCGCUGGGGGUCCCGCCCACCUCCCCCAGCCCCGCCCUUUUCUUGGCCUGAGAGAAAGUCCAGCUCUUCCCACGCCCUGUCACCACAGGCGCUUGGAAAAUCGGGAGAGCGGAGACCUCGGCCACAGCCCCAAAGCCCAGGGACACCUCUUAGCAACAGCCACCCGGGACAACCUAGUCGGGAGCUAGGGGUCCAUCUCAGCCAACCAGCCCACCUCUGUGGACCCCGUGGUGCCACUCUCGGCCAAUGGAGAGCCACCUUUUACCACGUGAUGCCAUCCACCAGCCAAUGGGGGGAGUCCAGUUGCAGGCUCCGCCCUCCCAUCGCUAACGGCUUGGCUGAGCGUGCUCUGCCAGCCAAUGGUCCCCAGAUGUUGAGAAGCUAUGACCUGGAAUGCAUCUGUUAGAAUUUGUCACAUACAGAAAAAUAAUGAAUGGAGUGCCCAUUUACUCCUCUUAGCCUUAUAGAGAGAGGAGAAGUUUUAGGGGACAUUUCUCAGGUUAUUUUCCCUGCUCUUUCGUCAAUGUGGACUUUCUUGAUGAGAAGGGUAGAGACUGUGGCUCUUGGAGUAGUUAUGCCUCAUUUAUAUUUCUCUGACAGGCCUCAGUUUCAUUCUCAGUGCUGCCAUAAAGAUAGAUUUUUAAUCACUCAGACAAACAUGUCACGUAGGAUCAUAUUUUCUUACUUAUUCUGUCUUGGUCAUGACCUGAUUUGAGGCUCAGUGUGAAAUGCUGGUUGAAGAAUUAGCUGCUGUAAGAAAGGGUGUUGAAAUGUGGAGAGAAUUUUGAAGAUUUGGGUGGGAAUUGGGUGUGUAUCUUCUGAUCCCUUAAUCGUGUUGAUUGCUACGCUAGCAUGAACUAUCUAUUCUGAGAGUGAUUUUAGAAAUAAAAUAUCUCCAUUCGUUUGUUCGUGGAAAACACGAAAUAAAAAUGAGAUAAAAUGAAAUUGAAUUUUCCCCGAGAGUGGUAAAUCUGUAUGCUAGUGAAAACUUAACAGUGUACACUGACACUUUAGGAUCUCUUUAGCUUCAGAAGUGCACUGCUGGGAGAAAAAAAAAAGAGAGAGGGAAAGAGAAACUUCAUUUCUCCUCACUGAAUCUGAGAGUUCUCUCACCUAUGCCCAUAUACCCUCAAUUGUCACACUUGUGUUACCAUGGAAACCCAGCUCCUUUCUUUGCUUCUGUGAAAGAUGUUGGAAAAGAUGGGAUGAAGUGGGGAAUACACUGUGUUCUGGGACUUUCUGGCAAUAGCAAGAAGCAAGCAUGCAAUGAAUUUAAUGUAAACAAGUGAGAGGGCAUUUUUAAAU